rnacentral:rRNA from 1 species
GCCCUUGGAAGGGAUGUAUUUAUUAGAUUAAAAACCAAUGCCCUUCGGGGCUCACUGGUGAUUCAUGAUAACUCCUCGAAUCGCAUGGCCUUGUGCCGGCGAUGGUUCAUUCAAAUUUCUUCCCUAUCAACUUUCGAUGUUUGGGUAUUGGCCAAACAUGGUUGCAACGGGUAACGGAGGGUUAGGGCUCGACCCCGGAGAAGGAGCCUGAGAAACGGCUACUACAUCCAAGGAAGGCAGCAGGCGCGCAAAUUACCCAAUCCCGACACGGGGAGGUAGUGACAAUAAAUACUGAUACAGGGCUCUUUUGGGUCUUGUAAUUGGAAUGAGUACAAUUUAAAUCCCUUAACGAGGAACAAUUGGAGGGCAAGUCUGGUGCCAGCAGCCGCGGUAAUUCCAGCUCCAAUAGCGUAUAUUAAAGUUGUUGUGGUUAAAAAGCUCGUAGUUGAACCUUGGGCCUGGCUGGCCGGUCCGCCUCACCGCGUGUACUGGUCCGGCCGGGCCUUUCCCCCUGUGGAACCCCAUGCCCUUCACUGGGUGUGGCGGGGAACCAGGACUUUUACAAGGGC